UACAGAGGUCUCAAGCGUUGUUCGGAUUCAUUGGGCGUAAAGGGCGCGUAGGUGGCCUUCUAAGUCGAACGUGAAAUCCCUGGGCUCAACCCAGGAACUGCGUCCGAUACUGGAAGGCUUGAAUCCGGGAGAGGGAUGCGGAAUUCCAGGUGUAGCGGUGAAAUGCGUAGAUAUCUGGAGGAACACCGGUGGCGAAGGCGGCAUCCUGGACCGGCAUUGACGCUGAGGCGCGAAAGCUAGGGGAGCAAACGGG
rnacentral:rRNA from 1 species